rnacentral:rRNA from 1 species
GAUGAACGCUGGCGGCGUGCUUAACACAUGCAAGUCGAACGAUGAAGCCCAGCUUGCUGGGUGGAUUAGUGGCGAACGGGUGAGUAACACGUGAGUAACCUGCCCUUAACUCUGGGAUAAGCCUGGGGAAACUGGGUCUAAUACCGGAUAGGAGCGUCCACCGCAUGGUGGGUGUUGGAAAGAUUUAUCGGUUUUGGAUGGACUCGCGGCCUAUCAGCUUGUUGGUGAGGUAAUGGCUCACCAAGGCGACGACGGGUAGCCGGCCUGAGAGGGUGACCGGCCACACUGGGACUGAGACACGGCCCAGACUCCUACGGGAGGCAGCAGUGGGGAAUAUUGCACAAUGGGCGCAAGCCUGAUGCAGCGACGCCGCGUGAGGGAUGACGGCCUUCGGGUUGUAAACCUCUUUCAGUAGGGAAGAAGCGAAAGUGACGGUACCUGCAGAAGAAGCACCGGCUAACUACGUG